UAUGGAGGGUGCGAGCGUUGUCCGGAAUCAUUGGGCGUAAAGGGCGCGUAGGUGGCCCGGUCAGUUCGUGGUGAAAGCGCGGGGCUCAACCCUGCGUCGGCCAUGAAUACUGCCGCGGCUGGAGCACUGUAGAGGCAGGCGGAAUUCCGGGUGUAGCGGUGGAAUGCGUAGAGAUCCGGAAGAACACCGGUGGCGAAGGCGGUUCUCUGGGCCUUACCUGACGCUGAGGAGCGAAAGCGUGGGGAGCGAACAGG
rnacentral:rRNA from 1 species